AUUGAACGCUGGCGGCAGGCCUAACACAUGCAAGUCGAGCGGAGCGGCGGACGGGUGAGUAAUGCCUAGGAAUCUGCCUGGUAGUGGGGGAUAACGUCCGGAAACGGGCGCUAAUACCGCAUACUAUCAGAUGAGCCUAGGUCGGAUUAGCUAGUUGGUGGGGUAAAGGCCUACCAAGGCGACGAUCCGUAACUGGUCUGAGAGGAUGAUCAGUCAAACUGGAACUGAGAACAGGUCCAGACCUGUAGGGGAGGAAGCAGGGGGGAAUAUUGGAAAAUGGGAGAAAGCCUGAUCCAGCCAUGCGGCGGGUGUGAAGAAGGUGUUCGGUUGGAAAAGAACUUUAAGUUGGGAGGCGUUACCAAAAGAUUAAGCACCGGCUAAUUUCGGGCCAGCGGCGCGGUAAUAC
rnacentral:rRNA from 1 species